rnacentral:rRNA from 1 species
CCUACGGGAGGCAGCAGUGGGGAAUCUUGCGCAAUGGGCGAAAGCCUGACGCAGCAACGCCGCGUGCGGGAAGAAGGCUUUCGGGCUGUAAACCGCUUUCAGCAGGAACGAAAAUGACGGUACCUGCAGAAGAAGGAGCGGCCAACUAUGUGCCAGCAGCCGCGGUGAUACAUAGGCUUCAAGCGUUGUCCGGAUUUAUUGGGCGUAAAGAGUUCGUAGGCGGUCAAGUAAGUCGGGUGUGAAAAUUCUGGGCUCAACCCAGAGACGCCACCCGAUACUGCUUAACUUGAGUUCGAUAGGGGAGUGGGGAAUUCCUAGUGUAGCGGUGAAAUGCGCAGAUAUUAGGAGGAACACCGGUGGCGAAGGCGCCACUCUGGAUCGAUACUGACGCUGAGGAACGAAAGCAUGGGUAGCAAACAGGAUUAGAUACCCUGGUAGUCCAUGCCGUAAACGGUGGGCACUAGGUGUGGGUUUCUAUUAACGAAAUCCGCGCCGUCGCUAACGCAUUAAGUGCCCCGCCUGGGGAGUACGGUCGCAAGACUAAAACUCAAAGGAUUGACGG